AUUCUGGUGAUCCUACCAGUAUAUACGCUUGUCUCAAAGUUAAGCCAUGCAUGUCUAAGUACAAACAUAUGAAUGUGAAACCGCAUAAGGCUCAGUAUAACAGCUAUAAUUCACAGAUCAUCCUACACUAGUACUUGGUAACUGUGGAAAAUCCAGAGCUAAUACAUCAACAUGCGGGACUGUUGCCCUCGCGGUAGCUGAACUGGUGCACUUAUUAGUAAACCAAUCGCCUCCGGCGGCUUGAGUGUAAGUCUGGAUAAGGACGCAGAUCGUAUGGUCGCUUGUCGACUGACGACAGAUCUUUCAAAUGUCCCUAUCAACUAUUGAUGGAGUGUAGAGGACUACCAUGGUUGCGACGGGUAACGGGAAUCAGGUUCGAUUCCGGAGAGGGAGCCUGAAAUGGCUACCACAUCCAAGGAAGCAGCAGGCGCGUAAAUACCCAAUCCAGUACGGGAGAGUGACGAGAAAUACAAUAUGACCCUCUCAACGAUGUCCAUAAUUGGAAUGAGUUGAGUAUAAAUCCUUCAACAAGGAUCAAGUGGAGGGCAAGUCUGGCCAGCAGCCGCGUAAUUCCAGCUCCACUAGCGUAUAUUAAAGUGUUGCGUGUAAAACGUUCGAAGUGAUUGCCCUCCAGACACGUGACCGCCACGGCGCCGUUACACGCCGGGCCGUUCCGCGCGCUCACGCUGCGACUCACAAUGUGUACUUGGCGUUACUCUUUGAACGAGUACCGUGCUACCGGUUAACUCCGGACGGCUCCUCAUGGUCUCAAGAUACUCACAUUACCUUGAACAAAUUAGAGUGCUCAAAGCAGGCUAAGACAAAGCGUCCGGCCCCCCCGUGGGGGCGUUGCCGAGAAUAAUCUGCAUGGAAUAAUGAAUAUGAACCUCGUUUAUACGAUUUCGUUGGUUUCAGAAACCUAGAGGUAAUGAUUAACAGAAGUAGUGGGGCAUUGGUAUUACGCGCGCGAGAGGUGAAAUUCGUAGACCGUCGUAGACCAACUGAAGCGAAAGCGUUUGCCAUGGAUGCUUCUUUAAUCAAGAACGAAAGUUAGAGGAUCGAAGGCAUUAGAUACCGCCCUAGUUCUAACCGUAAACGAUCCAAAGCAAUUGGAGACGCUACCCUAUUCGGUGCUCUCAGUCGCUUCCGGGAAACAAAAUCGGCUUCCGGGGAAGUAUGGUUGCAAAGUUGAAACUUAAAGGAAUUGACGGAAGGCACCACAAGAAUGGAGCUUGCGGCUUAAUUGACUCAACACGGGAAAAUUUACCAGGUCCAAACUUAUCGAGGUAAGACAGAUUGAUAGCUCUUUCUCAAAUUUAAGGUAGUGGCAUGCCGUUCUUAGUUCGUGGAAUGAUUUGUCUGUUAAUUCCGAUAACGAACGUGACUCACAUGCUAACUAGAACGCUGUCAGCAGUGCGCCUCCGGGCGCACCUGACGUUACACGGCGGCGCCUUCACGGGCGGUCGUCGCUACGUUUGCCCUGCUUAGCGGACAACUUGUGUUAGCAACUGAGAAUGAGCGAUAACAGGUCCGUGAUGCGCCUUAGAUGUUCUGGCUGCACGCGUGCUACAAUGUGGGUCGCAGCGUGUCUCUCCCAAUAGCGCCCCCAUUCCGAGAGAACGGAAAUCACUUAAAAUGCCCAUCUAGUCGGGAUUGGGGACUGCAACGGUCCCCAUAACCUGAAUUCUAGUAAGCACUAGUCAUUAGCUAAGCUGACUAAUCGUCUGCCCUUUGUACACACCGCCCUUGCACCCUACUUUACUGAAUGGAAUUCAUAGUCGAGUUCGGGUACUUAACCUCCGCAUGGUUUCCUUCUGGAAGACCGAGC
rnacentral:rRNA from 1 species